rnacentral:rRNA from 1 species
AUGAACUUCAAGGGCGCCAGGAUGCCGAGCGCGCCGGCGGGCGCGGGCGCGCUGGUCAAGCUCGGGCUGCUGGGCGGCGCCGCGCUCUACUCGGCAACAAGACCCUCUACAACGUCGAGGGAGGCCACCGGGCCAUCGUCUUCAACCGCCUCGAGGGGAUCAAGGACAAGGUCUACCCCGAGGGGACUCACAUCGUCAUCCCGUGGUUCGAGAGGCCCAUCAUCUACGACGUCCGUGCGCGACCCAACCUCGUCGAGAGCACCUCCGGGAGCCGGGAUCUCCAGAUGGACCCUGGGGGAGAACUAUAACGAGAGAGUGCUGCCUUCAAUCAUUCAUGAAACACUCAAAGCUGUGGUUGCCCAAUACAAUGCCAGUCAGCUAAUCACACAGAGAGAGGCUGUGAGCAGGGAGAUCAGGAAGAUUCUGACAGAGAGGGCGAAGAACUUCAACAUCGCUCUGGAUGAUGUGUCCAUUACCAGUCUCAGCUUUGGUAAGGAGUUCACUCAUGCCAUUGAAGCCAAACAGGUUGCUGCUCAGGAAGCUGAGCGUGCCAAGUUCAUUGUUGAGAAGGCUGAGCAAGACAAGAAAAGUGCAAUUAUCAGGGCACAGGGAGAAGCAAAGAGUGCAGAGCUGAUUGGUAAUGCCAUUGCCAACAACCCUGCUUUUGUGGCGCUCAGGCAGAUUGAAGCCGCCAGGGAGAUCGCCCACACCAUCGCAGCCUCCAACAACAAGGUGUUCCUCGACUCGGGCGACCUGCUGCUUGGGCUCCAGUCGCUCAAGAUGUUGAACAACAACAACAAGAAAUGA